AGCGCUGCAACAGACAAGGUUCUGCGGGGGGGAGGGCUGCCAAGCGCUGAUUGGUGGUUUGAGAGGGAGAGGUGGAGCGAGCGUUCUAACGCGUAGCCCAGCGUGGGCGUGUCCUGCGGCUGCGGGAGUGGGGGAUGCUGGAGAGCGCUUGGAGUCAGAUCUCUCUUCCCCUUCGGCUGACUCAGUAACAACCUUGAGCCUGAACUUGAUGUGAUUUGGCUGGAGGGCUGAGGCACAGAAGCCCUGGUGAGAGGCAGAUGGACAGUAGAAGGCACCAGAGAUGAGAACCCCUAGCAGUGUCUCACCCCGACACAAGGGGGUGCUAUGGAUGGAACUAAUGACGACAGCAGCACAAAUCCCCGGUGAAUUUAGACAAACAAGUCAGUGGCUGAGUGUCUGUCUUUAUUAUUGGUCCAAGACAUGUCAAGUAUUAUAAACAUGACUCAUGACAACUUUAAUUAAGGUAACGAAUGUGGAAAAAAUACUAAAAGGCCGCUCAUUCCUUUUUCACAACUUUGGAAAUGAAAUUAAUUUCUGAACUGUUUUCCUUUAUUUUAUUGGUGGAGAGGUAAAUAUGGUUCUCCUUCAUUGGAUUUCUGUUUCCUGCAAAG